ensembl:lncRNA
GGCUAAUUGCCGCUUUUCAAAAUUGCUCAAACAUUCGUUGAGUUGUCUCUUUAACUCACUCAGUUUUUAUCGCAGUUAUGUUCCGAUUGCUUCCCGCUAACGUCGCCUCUUCCUGCCUCGCCUCCUGCAGAUGGAGCCUCGAUUCAGAGUUACUAAGUUCCUCAGUCUGCUCAGCGACCCAGGAAUAUCUCGUUCGGAUAUUAUGUUCUAGGCUAAACGUACAGGCGCCGUCACAUAGAGGAAGAUUCCCUCGACACGAAGAAAUCGGACGCCUCAGAAUCAGCGUUCCGAACGGAGGGGGAAAAGGAUCGUGAGGGGGAAAUGGGUUCCAUUUCUCGGACUCUUCCUCUGAUCCCGACCCCCUUGUUACACCCUGUCACACACCAGCAGCCCCCCCAGGACCGACGUGGCGGGGGGGUCCAUGGAUCACCACUGUUUAUAUCUGUUGAUAUUCUGAUGAAUGAAGUCCACUUGAUGUGCAACCACACAGGCUCCAUCUCACACUCCCUGGGUGCUUUACUUUUAAUGACAAAAGGAUGACUAUAAUUUAAAUGGUAACCAUGGUGAUAGUGAUAGCAUUUUCUUCAUUUGUGCCUUAAACCGAAACUGUUGGAAGAAAAAUCAUUCCAGGAUUAUUUUUUUUGAUCUUAAUCACGCUACUCAAUUUAUUAUUAUCUUCUUUAAAAUUGUGUUUCGACAUCUGUUAUUUUAAUAAAUAAACUAUUUCGAGAAAUUAAAGAGUUUGAUUCAAUUUCGCAUUUGUUUUUUAAAGCUUCAGAAGGGAAAGCACAUAAUCUGAUAAUGUUUUGGGGUAUUUCUGUGAAGGUUCUCCUUGAUGGUUCAAUACCUGAAUCUACCGGAGGUGGUUAUGGUUCUUCUGCCUGUAGGGAGAUGGUAUCUUUAGAAUGAAAGGUCCUGAUUCAUGUCCCUCUUUAGUUUACCCUACUUUAAUCCUGGUUUAUACUCCUGGGUGAACCACGUUUGUAUUUUUCAUGAAUCCUCAGAAUCUUCUGCCUCUACUUUGCGCCUGAAUAAAUUCUGGA